ACAGGAAAUGUGUCCCUGAAGGCCAGCGGAAGCUGCCUGCGUGGGCUUCCAGAAAAGGCAGGCACCGGCAGGCCCCAGCUGCCUGCCUGCCUGCGCCGGGUGCGCCAACCGCCCCCACAGCCUCCCCUACGCUCUGUCUGGAACAGUCAGCGCACAGCAGCGACGGAUGCAUCAGAGAGCUGCCCGGGGAGGUGGGGGGAGGCACAGGGAUGAGCGGGUUGGCCCCCCAAAUCCUGUGCCACUUGCACAGCUGAGCCUGGCUGAGCCCAAUGACACAAGUCAAGCACGUGGCCACGGCUAAGCCUGUCCCCUGGGGAAUGGACCGUCCCACACCCAGUGUGACUUGAGCCUCUGCGAUGCUCACGAUGCUCACGUGGUCCGGACUCUUUCAGGAGGCAGAGGCUCAUGAAUGAAUGGACGGAUGCUGUUCUUUCCCUUCCCUUCCCCUAUCCCCGCAUCCCAGGAGCAUGGAACGUGGCCUUAGUCAUUUUGGCAGACACACCCAUGUACUAAAAUAAAAAGAGCUUCUUACACUUACUGAGGACCCAAAGGGGCCAGUCACAUCUCUCACCUCAUUUAAACCUGCCAAGAAUGGACCCUCUUGCUACUAUUGUCACGAUUGGACUGAUGAAGCAAAGGAAGCAGAAGGUCAAGAACUCAACCAAGUUCACAGUUGGAAACAGUGAAGCCCAGAUUUGGACUGAAGAGGUGUGAACACGAGGGCUCUCUCUUCCCUGUCAUCGCACCCACCAGCCAGGCCCAGCUCACACCCCAGGCUCUCUUAGAAGUACCCACCUCCCAAGCCCAUAGUGGCCUGCUCCCAAAUUCCCAAUAUCUGAAGUGCUCAUUUGACACUUAACAUGGGCCCGAAAACAUGAGGCCCUGGAUUGACCUCAGCUGAGCCUGGUCGACAAUGGCAUUAGAACAUCAGUUGUCAACAAUUAAAAAAAUCACUCUA